UUGUAAACUCCUUUCACCAUCGACGAAGGUUUUCUGACGGUAGAUGGAGAAGAAGCACCGGCUAACUACGUGCCAGCAGCCGCGGUAAUACGUAGGGUGCGAGCGUUGUCCGGAAUUACUGGGCGUAAAGAGCUCGUAGGUGGUUUGUCGCGUCGUCUGUGAAAUUCCGGGGCUUAACUCCGGGCGUGCAGGCGAUACGGGCAUAACUUGAGUACUGUAGGGGAGACUGGAAUUCCUGGUGUAGCGGUGAAAUGCGCAGAUAUCAGGAGGAACACCGGUGGCGAAGGCGGGUCUCUGGGCAGUAACUGACGCUGAGGAGCGAAAGCAUGGGUAGCGAACAGGAUUAGAUACCCUGGUAGUCCAUGCCGUAAACGGUGGGCGCUAGGUGUAGGGGUCUUCCACGACUUCUGUGCCGUAGCUAACGCAUUAAGCGCCCCGCCUGGGGAGUACGGCCGCAAGGCUAAAACUCAAAGGAAUUGACGGGGGCCCGCACAAGCGGCGGAGCAUGUGGAUUAAUUCGAUGCAACGCGAAGAACCUUACCUGGGCUUGACAUAUACGGGACCGGGCCAGAGAUGGUCCUUCCCUUGUGGCUCGUAUACAGGUGGUGCAUGGUUGUCGUCAGCUCGUGUCGUGAGAUGUUGGGUUAAGUCCCGCAACGAGCGCAACCCUUGUCUUAUGUUGCCAGCACGUAAUGGUGGG
rnacentral:rRNA from 1 species